CUGUAACCUGAUUUUUCCUCUUGAUUCUCUUGUGAAGAAUCUGACUGUGCGAACAACUCUGUGUGAGGCCCGAAAAAAGCAGGACUCUACGAAUGGCCGUCACUGUCUCGGCCAACCAUCGACAUUGUCAUUGCCGUCCCUUCCUUACAUAUGUGUGUGUGUGUAUUGGGCCACCCCAUUCUCGAGUUCAUUUCCAUGCUAAAUAAUUCUUCUUCGACAGACAAAUUUAUUUAUUGUAAUUCUGGUGUUCUCGUAAGCUACCGUUGUCUCCCGCUUUUCAAUUGAGGCUGAGUAUUGUGCAGUUGCUUCUGCCUUGUCUGAAAUGAACUGAAUCCCAAGUUAGUCGCUGUCUCUUCACAUCUAACUUGAAGAGGUCUAAUACUGCAUGUACAACU